CCUGUUUUAGACACUUGGGGUGGUUGGCGAAAUCUACCAGAAUAUAUCUUACUUGUUUUUCGGACCUGUCAGAAAAAUUGCUAUGCUGUUUUGGAUCUUGAGCCUUCUUUUUAGCCCACACCCUUCCUUGGCAUGAGAAUAGCUGUGUUUCAGAGCGUGGGCUGCUUCAAAACCACCUGGGCUGCUUGUCUCCGGAGCUGAUGAAUUGGACCUGCUGGUGCAUUCUUAAUAAACACCUGAGGUGACCCUUUCUGGACGCUGACAUGAAAGAUGGCUGCCUUCGUGCUCCCUGGGCCCCCGAACUUUGCC
rnacentral:lncRNA from 1 species